UUGUUGGUAAGGUAAAAGCUUACCAAGGCUUCGAUCAGUAGCUGGUCUGAGAGGACGACCAGCCACACUGGGACUGAGACACGGCCCAGACUCCUACGGGAGGCAGCAGUGGGGAAUUUUGGACAAUGGGGGCAACCCUGAUCCAGCCAUGCCGCGUGAGUGAAGAAGGCCUUCGGGUUGUAAAGCUCUUUCAGCCGGAACGAAACGGUUACGGAUAACAUCCGUGACUACUGACGGUACCGGAAGAAGAAGCACCGGCUAACUACGUGCCAGCAGCCGCGGUAAUACGUAGGGUGCGAGCGUUAAUCGGAAUUACUGGGCGUAAAGCGUGCGCAGGUGGUUUUGUAAGUCAGAUGUGAAAGCCCCGGGCUCAACCUGGGAACUGCGUUUGAAACUACAAGACUAGAGUGUGGCAGAGGGGGGUGGAAUUCCGCGUGUAGCAGUGAAAUGCGUAGAGAUGUGGAGGAACACCGAUGGCGAAGGCAGCCCCCUGGGUCAACACUGACGCUCAGGCACGAAAGCAUGGGGAGCAAACAGGAUUAGAUACCCUGGUAGUCCAUGCCCUAAACGAUGUCAACUAGUUGUCGGGCCUUUACGGGCUUGGUAACGUAGCUAACGCGUGAAGUUGACCGCCUGGGGAGUACGAUCGCAAGAUUAAAACUCAAAUGAAUUGACGGGGACCCGCACAAGCGGUGGAUUAUGUGGAUUAAUUCGAUGCAACGCGAAAAACCUUACCUACCCUUGACAUGUAUCGAAGCCCGCAGAAAAGCGGGGGUGCCCGAAAGGGAACGAUAACACAGGUGCUGCAUGGCUGUCGUCAGCUCGUGUCGUGAGAUGUUGGGUUAAGUCCCGCAACGAGCGCAACCCUUGUCAUUAAUUGCCAUCAUUUAGUUGGGCACUUUAAUGAGACUGCCGG
rnacentral:rRNA from 1 species